ACCAAGGAGUCUAACAUAUGUGCAAGUUAUUGGGAUAUAAACCUAAUAGCAUAAUUAACUUGACUAAUAAUGGGAUUAGUUUUUUAACUAUUUAUAGAUAAUUAACACAAUCCCGGGGCGUUCUAUAUAGUUAUGUAUAAUGAUAUUUAUAUUAUUUAUACCUCUAACUGGAACGUACCUUGAGCAUAUAUGCUGUGACCCGAAAGAUGGUGAACUAUACUUGAUCAGGUUGAAGUCAGGGGAAACCCUGAUGGAAGACCGAAACAGUUCUGACGUGCAAAUCGAUUGUCAGAAUUGAGUAUAGGGGCGAAAGACCAAUCGAACCAUCUAGUAGCUGGUUCCUUCCGAAGUUUCCCUCAGGAUAGCUGGUGCAUUUAAAUGUUAUAUAAAAUAAUCUUAUCUGGUAAAGCGAAUGAUUAGAGGCCUUAGGGUCGAAACGAUCUUAACCUAUUCUCAAACUUUAAAUGGGUAAGAACCUUAACUUUCUUGAUAUGAAGUUUAAGUUAUGAUAUAUUGUGCCCAGUGGCCACUUUUGGUAGCAGACUGGCGCUGUGGGAUGACCAAACGUAAUGU
rnacentral:ncRNA from 1 species